CAUCCCCUGCGGUGUACGUAUGCAACCAGGGUAUUUUCUUGAGCCUAACAUCUACCCAGGGAACAUGACGACGGUGCCAGUGAGCAUGUCCGCAACCUAGCGGAAAGCCUGAGGCGCCUCUGUUGUUCCCACUUGAACCCACUGGUUCAAGAACAAAGGUUCGCGACGGCACAGGUGGGGGAUGU
rnacentral:other from 3 species